AAAAAAUAAUCCUUUUUCUCGGGCGGCUUUCACAUUUUAACAAAAGGAUUGGGGCUGUCACCCGCGCGCGCCCUUAAAGCUUAAUGUUUUGUGUGAAGGAUAACGGCUCUCCCCCAAAGGCAAACGAUUGCGUGUAGCGGCCCUGGAGAGGGUGUAUUCGGCCCACCUGGGACUUGGGACACGGCCCCAGGAUUCCUUACGGGAGGCAAGCAGUGAGGGAAUCUUCCCCAAUGGACGAAAGUUUUGACGGAGGCAACCCCGCUUGACGAUGAAGACCUCUCGGUCGUAAAGCCUCUUUUUCAGGGAAGAACAAGUACCGGAGUAACUGCCGGUACCUAGACGGUACCUGACCAGAAAGCCACGGCUAACUACGUGCCAGCAGCCGCGGUAAUACGUAGGUGGCAAGCGUUUUCCGGAAUUUUUGGGCGUAAAGCGCGCGCAGGCGGUUCCUUAAGUCUGAUGUGAAAGCCCCCGGCUCAACCGGGGAGGGUCAUUGGAAACUGGGGAACUUGAGUGCAGAAGAGGAGAGCGGAAUUCCACGUGUAGCGGUGAAAUGCGUAGAGAUGUGGAGGAACACCAGUGGCGAAGGCGGCUCUCUGGUCUGUAACUGACGCUGAGGCGCGAAAGCGUGGGGAGCGAACAGGAUUAGAUACCCUGGUAGUCCACGCCGUAAACGAUGAGUGCUAAGUGUUAGAGGGUUUCCGCCCUUUAGUGCUGCAGCAAACGCAUUAAGCACUCCGCCUGGGGAGUACGGCCGCAAGGCUGAAACUCAAAGGAAUUGACGGGGGCCCGCACAAGCGGUGGAGCAUGUGGUUUAAUUCGAAGCAACGCGAAGAACCUUACCAGGUCUUGACAUCCUCUGACAACCCUAGAGAUAGGGCGUUCCCCUUCGGGGGACAGAGUGACAGGUGGUGCAUGGUUGUCGUCAGCUCGUGUCGUGAGAUGUUGGGUUAAGUCCCGCAACGAGCGCAACCCUUGAUCUUAGUUGCCAGCAUUCAGUUGGGCACUCUAAGGUGACUGCCGGUGACAAACCGGAGGAAGGUGGGGAUGACGUCAAAUCAUCAUGCCCCUUAUGACCUGGGCUACACACGUGCUACAAUGGAUGGAACAAAGGGUCGCGAAGCCGCGAGGUCGAGCCAAUCCCAUAAAUCCAUUCUCAGUUCGGAUUGCAGGCUGCAACUCGCCUGCAUGAAGCCGGAAUCGCUAGUAAUCGCGGAUCAGCAUGCCGCGGUGAAUACGUUCCCGGGCCUUGUACACACCGCCCGUCACACCACGAGAGUUUGUAACACCCGAAGUCGGUGGGGUAACCUUUAUGGAGCCAGCCGCUAUAAUCUGG
rnacentral:rRNA from 2 species